UAGGGAAUCUUCGGCAAUGGGGGGAACCCUGACCGAGCAACGCCGCGUGAGUGAAGAAGGUUUUCGGAUCGUAAAGCUCUGUUGUUAAGGAAGAACGAGUGUGAGAAUGGAAAGUUCAUACUGUGACGGUACUUAACCAGAAAGGGACGGCUAACUACGUGCCAGCAGCCGCGGUAAUACGUAGGUCCCGAGCGUUGCCCGGAUUUAUUGGGCGUAAAGCGAGCGCAGGCGGUUAGAUAAGUCUGAAGUUAAAGGCAGUGGCUCAACCAUUGUAGGCUUUGGAAACUGUUUAACUUGAGUGCAGAAGGGGAGAGUGGAAUUCCAUGUGUAGCGGUGAAAUGCGUAGAUAUAUGGAGGAACACCGGUGGCGAAAGCGGCUCUCUGGUCUGUAACUGACGCUGAGGCUCGAAAGCGUGGGGAGCGAACAGG
rnacentral:rRNA from 1 species